UACAGAGGGUGCGAGCGUUUAAUCGGAAUUACUGGGCGUAAAGCGUGCGUAGGUGGUUUAAUAAGUCAGAUGUGAAAUCCCCGGGCUCAACCUGGGAACUGCAUUUGAAACUAUUAGGCUAGAGUACGGUAGAGGGAAGUGGAAUUUCCGGUGUAGCGGUGAAAUUCGUAGAUAUCGGGAGGAACACCAGUGGCGAAGGCGGCGAUCUGGGAAGUUACUGACGCUGAGGUGCGAAAGCGUGGGGAGCAAACAGG
rnacentral:rRNA from 1 species